rnacentral:rRNA from 1 species
AUUGAACGCUAGCGGGAUGCCUUACACAUGCAAGUCGAACGGAGUGGCGAACGGGUGAGUAAUGUAUCAGAACGUGCCCAGUAGCGGGGGAUAACUACGCGAAAGCGUAGCUAAUACCGCAUACUAUUGGAGCGGCCGAUGUCGGAUUAGCUAGUUGGUGGGGUAACGGCUCACCAAGGCGACGAUCCGUAGCCGGUGUGAGAGGAGGACCAGCCACAUGGGGACUGAGACACGGCCCAGACUCCUAAGGGAGGCAGCAGUGGGGAAUGUUGGACAAUGGGGGAAACCAGGAUCCAGCCAGCCCGCGUGUGCGAUGAAGGCCUUCGGGUUGUAAAGCACUUUCAGCGAGGAGGCGUUACUCGCAGAAGAAGCACCGGCUAACUCCGUGCCAGCAGCCGCGGUAAUAC